rnacentral:sRNA from 1 species
GCACUCGUUGCAGGCGACGAUGCAGAGGGCUGUAAGUGUGGUGGCCCAUCUGGGCUCUCGCCUGCAGGCAUUCUCCCCGGCCUUGUGUCGUCCAUUUAGUUGCGCACAGGACACCGCUGUAUGACUUCCACCUGGCCCACGGCGGGAAAAUGGUGGCGUUUGCGGGUUGGAGUCUGCCAGUGCAGUACCGGGACAGUCACACUGACUCGCACCUGCACACACGCCAGCACUGCUCGCUCUUUGACGUGUCUCAUAUGCUGCAGACCAAGAUACUUGGUAGUGACCGGGUGAAGCUGAUGGAGAGUCUAGUGGUUGGAGACAUUGCAGAGCUAAGACCAAACCAGGGGACACUGUCGCUGUUUACCAACGAGGCUGGAGGCAUCUUAGAUGACUUGAUUGUAACCAGUACUUCUGAGGGCCACCUGUAUGUGGUGUCCAACGCUGGCUGCUGGGAGAAAGAUUUGGCCCUCAUGCAGGUAUACCCCCUCUGUGUUCUAGGCACCUUGUCUUCCUUGUUCAUAGAGCAGCAUCCUUGUUAUCCAAGACAGGGUUGGCACAGACAAAGGACCUGGAAAAUGGCUCUUUCAGUGAAUGAACAGCUAUGAGACUCAAGAGCAGGCCCUCUCUGGAGCAUGCCAGGGUUUGGUGGUGGGGGAUUACCAGGCAUGGGGAGGGGGUCUUGGCCCCUCUGGUGUGAGGUGGCAGACCUGGGCUUGGGUCAUCUCUAUCACUUAGUAGCUAUGUGACCUUGUAAGAUGGGAACCAGCCUACUACCUUUUUUUCCUCCCUCCUCCUCCUCCUCUCCACUGUCUUACUACUGUCCAGCUCUGCAGCGUCCAGCCCAUGGUAGCUGCUCAGUAAGUGGCCCCAGAUGCUCUUGUGUUUCUGUCUUUUAGGACAAGGUCAGGGAGCUUCAGAACCAGGGCAGAGAUGUGGGCCUGGAGGUGUUGGAUAAUGCCCUGCUAGCUCUGCAAGGUGAGAGGGCUGGGCUGGGGUUGGAGCCAACCUUUGCCUUCCUGGCUUUAUUGACUGCUUAGCACAGAGGCCAUACCAAGAAGAAGGUGUGGAAGGUGUGAUAUUUGUGUGCCAUAAUUUUAAGUUUGGUAUCUUGCCCUCCUCCUACCUACCACAAGGCUCCAUGGGCUAGAGACAAGGGCAUCUUCUCCCACUUGCAGAGUAAGACGUGCUCAGGGCUUGUUCUAGUCCCUGAAUAAGGCUUUAGUCCAGGUUUGAGGGAUGCUGGGACCUGGAUACUUGGUCACUGGCUCCCUGGGCCCAGGCCCCACUGCAGCCCAGGUACUACAGGCCGGCGUGGCAGAUGACCUGAGGAAACUGCCCUUCAUGACCAGUGCUGUGAUGGAGGUGUUUGGCGUGUCUGGCUGCCGUGUGACCCGCUGUGGCUACACAGGAGAGGAUGGUGUGGAGGUGUGUCAAGAAGUGGUGUAGGGGGCAGUACAGGGCACAAGAUGCAUGUGAGGGGUUGGGGGUAUGUGGUACAGGGAGCUUCCCAUCUGCCCUCUGGUGUUUCAUACAGAUCUCGGUGCCGGUAGCGGGGGCAGUUCACCUGGCAACAGCUCUUCUGAAAAACCCAGAGGUGAAGCUGGCAGGGCUGGCAGCCAGGGACAGCCUGCGCCUGGAGGCAGGCCUCUGCCUGUACGGGAAUGACAUUGAUGAACACACUACACCUGUGGAGGGCAGCCUCAGUUGGACACUGGGCCUGGGCGACAGAGUGACUCCAUCUCAAAAAAAAAAAAAAAAAAAGAAACUGAAGAUGCUCAGCAGGGAAGCGCCGCCGAGCUGCUAUGGACUUCCCUGGAGCCAAAGUCAUUGUUCCCCAGCUGAAGGGCAAGGUGCAGCGGAGGCGUGUGGGGUUGAUGUGUGAGGGGGCCCCCAUGCGGGCACACAGUCCCAUCCUGAACAUGGAGGGUACCAAGAUUGGUACUGUGACUAGUGGCUGCCCCUCGCCCUCUCUGAAGAAGAAUGUGGCGAUGGGUUAUGUGCCCUGCGAGUACAGUCGUCCAGGGACAAUGCUGCUGGUAGAGGUGCGGCGGAAGCAGCAGAUGGCUGUAGUCAGCAAGAUGCCCUUUGUGCCCACAAACUACUAUACCCUCAAGUGAAGCUGGCUCAGGGUGGGGCUGUCCCUUCCAGAAGUUUUGCCCCUACAAGGGGUUAGUCAAGAAGCUGAGGCAGAACUCACUGGGGGUGGGCAGUUAAGGUGGAGGCUGAUUCUAAUUGUCUGGCUGAGGGGCCACACCACCUAUUCCCCCCACCUAACUCAUGCCACUCCAGCUUCCUUCAGGACCCUGCUUCUGAGUGACGGACCAGCUCACACAAUGUCUUGUUUCAGUCCAUGAUCCCACUGACCUACUCUUGCCUGCUGGAGGGUAAUGAGAAGCUUUGGUUCUGCCAUCUCUCCCACUCUGCCAGGUGCUGGCUGUGGAGCAAAGGCUCACCUUUGUGGGGAGGAUAAAACCUGCCCAACCUACCUCACCAUGGUUUUUCACAUUGCAAACGGUAAUAACAUGGGCAGUGUGGACUUAGGCUACCCCCUCCAGUUUGCUUUCCGUAAAUGCAAAUUGUCCCUACUGCAAGUCAGGAAUGAUUGCCGACUCACAGUAGGGCUGCUAUGCCUGUGUGUAAACUUGGGGAUGGCUGAGGGAACACAGACUCACUCUUCCGCAUUCCCAAGUUGGUCUAGUGUGCUGCCCAGUAGCAAACCAUGGCAGGCUCACCACCUAUUCUGAGCUCCAGGGCUGUUGUAGGGCAGGGUGGGCUUCCUCCCAGACUUGCCUUACCCUGGGCUGAUCUUUGCCCCUGGUAUGCAUUAAUGGACUCCACUGAAUCCUGAAAAAAAAUUA